rnacentral:rRNA from 1 species
GGAAACGUUUUCUCGGAUCCUGGGCGUAAGGGCGCGUAGGCGGGAUGGCAAGUCGGGAGUGAAAUCUCUGGGCUUAACCCAGAGGCUGCUUCCGAAACUGCUGUGCUGGAGUGUGGGAGAGGCGCGUGGAAUUGCAGGUGUAGCGGUGAAAUGCGUAGAUAUCUGCAGGAACACCCGUGGCGAAGGCGGCGCGCUGGACCACUACUGACGCUGAGGAACGAAAGCUAGGGGAGCAAACAGGAUUAGAUACCCUGGUAGUCCUAGCCCUAAACGAUCAGGACUUGGGGUGCCACCCGUUCGGGUGUCGUCCCGGAGCUAACGCGUUAAGUCCUGCACCUGGGGAGUACGGUCGCAAGACUGAAACUCAAAGGAAUUGACGGGGGCCCGCACAAGCGGUGGAACAUGUGGUUCAAUUCGACGCUACGCGAGGAACCUUACCUGGGCUCGAAAUGCUUCUGACCAGCUGUGGAAACACGGCCUUCCCGCAAGGGACAGGAGUAUAGGCGCUGCAUGGCUGUCGUCAGCUCGUGCCGUGAGGUGUUGGGUUAAGUCCCGCAACGAGCGCAACCCCUGCACGUAGUUGCCACUCCGCAAGGAGGGAACUCUACGUGGACUGCUCCGGAUAACGGAGAGGAAGGUGGGGAUGACGUCAAGUCCGCAUGGCCUUUAUGUCCAGGGCUACACACGUGUUACAAUGCAGGGCACAAACCGUUGCCAACCCGCGAGGGGGAGCUAAUCGGAUAAAACUCUGCUCAGUUCGGAUUGCAGUCUGCAACUCGACUGCAUGAAGCCGGAAUCGCUAGUAAUGGCGUAUCAGAUCGACGCCGUGAAUACGUUCCCGGGCCUUGUACACACCGCCCGUCACAUCACGAAAGUGAGCUGUACUAGAAGUCGCCGAGCUAACCGCAAGGAGGCAGGCGCCCAAAGGUAUGACUCAUGAUUGGGGUGAAGUCGUAACAAGGUAACC